rnacentral:misc_RNA from 1 species
GGUCAGCAUGUCACCUUGCCUGAACUACUACGCGGACAGCACCUCACCACAAUUCUCAGGUUGCUGCACGCAGCUUAGCACGGUGGUUGAUGAAAAGUCAGAGUGCUUGUGCCAGGUUCUCAAAGACCUUGGACUCAACAUUAACCAGACUCGGUUAUCGGCCCUCACUACCGCUUGCAAAGUUCAGACUCCACCUGCUAGCAACUGCAACGGACG